AAUGAACGCUGGCGGCGUGCUUAACACAUGCAAGUCGCACGAGAACGUUCCAGCUUGCUGGAGCAAGUAAAGUGGCGCACGGGUGAGUAACGCGUGGGUAAUCUACCCUUGAAUUUGGGAUAACUCUUCGAAAGGGGAGGUAAUACCGGAUGACAUCACAUUUUUUUCGAGGAGUGUGAUCAAAGAUGGCCUCUCCAUGGAAGCUAUUGUUUGAGGAUGAGCCCGCGUACCAUUAGCUAGUUGGUAGGGUAAAGGCCUACCAAGGCGACGAUGGUUAGCUGGUUUGAGAGGAUGACCAGUCACACUGGAACUGACACACGGUCCAGACUCCUACGGGAGGCAGCAGUGAGGAAUUUUGCGCAAUGGGGGAAACCCUGACGCAGCAACGCCGCGUGAGUGAUGAAGGC
rnacentral:rRNA from 1 species